GACGAACGCUGGCGGCGUGCUUAACACAUGCAAGUCGAACGGAAAGGCCCUGCUUUUGUGGGGUGCUCGAGUGGCGAACGGGUGAGUAACACGUGAGUAACCUGCCCUUGACUUUGGGAUAACUUCAGGAAACUGGGGCUAAUACCGGAUAGGAGCUCCUGCUGCAUGGUGGGGGUUGGAAAGUUUCGGCGGUUGGGGAUGGACUCGCGGCUUAUCAGCUUGUUGGUGGGGUAGUGGCUUACCAAGGCUUUGACGGGUAGCCGGCCCGAGAGGGUGACCGGCCACAUUGGGACUGAGAUACGGCCCAGACUCCUACGGGAGGCAGCAGUGGGGAAUAUUGCACAAUGGGCGGAAGCCUGAUGCAGCAACGCCGCGUGCGGGAUGACGGCCUUCGGGUUGUAAACCGCUUUCGCCUGUGACGAAGCGUGAGUGACGGUAAUGGGUAAAGAAGCACCGGCUAACUACGAG
rnacentral:rRNA from 1 species